GAUGAACGCUGGCGGCGUGCCUAAUACAUGCAAGUCGAGCGAACAGACGAGGAGCUUGCUCCUCUGACGUUAGCGGCGGACGGGUGAGUAACACGUGGAUAACCUACCUAUAAGACUGGGAUAACUUCGGGAAACCGGAGCUAAUACCGGAUAAUAUAUUGACCCGCAUGGUUCAAUAGUGAAAGACGGUUUUGCUGUCACUUAUAUCUGGAUCCGCUCCGCAUUAGCUAGUUGGUAAGGUAACGGCUUACCAAGGCAACGAUGCGUAGCCGACCUGAGCGGGUGAUCGGCCACACUGGAACUGAGACACGGUCCAGACUCCUACGGGAGGCAGCAGUAGGGAAUCUUCCGCAAUGGGCGAAAGCCUGACGGAGCAACGCCGCGAGAGUGAUGAAGGUCUUCGGAUCGUAAGACCCUGUUAUUAGGGAAGAACAAAGGUGUAAGUAACUAUGCACGUCUUGACGGUACCUAAUCAGAAAGCCACGGCUAACUACGUG
rnacentral:rRNA from 1 species